AUUAUUGAAAUAAACCUGAUGAGUUGUUGCUGGCUCUCUAGAGAGCAUUGUGCACGCUUGUCAUCUUUAUGUCUCCACCUGUGCACAUUUUGUAAACCUGGAUCACUCUCUGAAAUGCUAAUCAGCACUUUAGGUUGGAGGAAUUUGACUUUGUUGUCUUUCCUUGCAUUUCUAGGUCUAUGUUCUUUUUCAUAUAAUCUUAUUGUGAUAUAAUGGACCCUAUAUAAUAUAAACCUAUACAACUUUCAGCAACGGAUCUCUUGGCCUCUCCGCAUCNCAUGGAAGAACCGCAAUGCGAUAAGUAAUGUGAAUUGCAGAAUUCAGUGAAUCAUCGAAUCUUUGAACGCACCUUGCGCUCCUUGGUAUUCCGAGGAGCAUGCCUGUUUGAGUGUCAUUAAUAUAUCAACCUCUUUAAAUUUUGAGAGUGUUUGGANGUGGGGGGUGUUAUUUUGCUGGCCUUUCUCCAAGGUCAGCUCCCCUGAAAUGUAUUAGCGGAACAAUUUGUUGACCGUUCAUUGGUGUGAUAGCAUAUCUACGCUAUUGACGUGAAGCAAGUUCAGCUUAUAACAGUCCAUUGACUUGGACAAUUCUCUAUUUAUUAAUGUGACCUCAAAUCAGGUAGGACUACCCGCUGAACUUAA
rnacentral:rRNA from 1 species